CGACGUGCGAGUCGAGUGAUCCCACCGCCUAAAGUUGUUUCAUUUCUUUUCAUCUGCUUUGCAACGAUAUUUGAAAGGUUUCAACAAAAUGCGAAAUGAAUGAAAAAAAUUGUUUGAUAGACUUUUUCAGACUCUCGACGCGGAGGCCAGCUACCCCUCACUAAACCGUUCACUCGGUAGUAGUGACAGGCGGUGUGUAGAAAGGGCACCGAUGUAAUUACUGGGAAUUCCUCGUUGAUAAGAAGAAUUUCAAGCCCCCAAUCCCUAUCACGAAGGACGUUCAAGGGGUUCGCACUGUUUUCAAAGCAUGGUCACAUCCACCUUGAUUCCUUCUAAAGGCAGCCAGACCUGUUAUUGCUCAAUCUCUUGUGGCUAAACGCCACUUCUCCCUCUAAGAAGUUAGCACCGAUGCGUGAAGAAUCGGUGAACUAUUUAACAGGCUAGAGUCUCGCCCGUUAUCAGAAUUAAUCAGACAAAUCGCGCCACCACCUAAGAACGGCCAUGCGCCACCACCCACCGAAUCAAGAAAAAGAUAUCAAUCUGUCAAUGCUUACAGUGUGCGGACUGGGUGUGUUUUACCGUGUUGAAUCAAAUUAAGCCGCAGGCUCCACUCCUGGUGGUGACAUUCCGUCAAUUCCUUUAAGUUUCAGCUUUGCAACCAUACUUCCCCUGGAACCCGAAAAGUUUGGUUUCAGAGUCGAUGAAGCGACACUUGCACAACGCUAGUUGUCAUCGUUUAUGGUCAGAACAAUGACAGUAUUUAAUCGUCUUCGAUCCUCUGACUUUCGUUCUUGACUAAUGAAAAUAUGCUUGGCAAAUGCUUUCGCAGUUGUUCGUCUUGCGAAGACUACCCUGCGAAGAGCCGCGCACGCUCAGGCUUCGCGCAGUGACCGUCGCGAGACGGACCGCACGACCAUGCCUCAGAUGCAACUACGAGCUUUUUAAGCGCAACGACUUUAAUAUACGCUAUUGGAGCUGAAAUUACCACGGCUGCUGGCACCAGACUUGCCCUCCAAUAGAUCCUCGUUAAAGGGUUUAAAGUGUACUCAUUCCAAUUACGGAGCCUCAAAAGAGUUCCGUAUUGCUAUUUUUCGUCACUACCUCCCCUAGCCGGGAGUGGGUAAGUUGCGCGCCUGGUGCCUUCCUUGGAUGUGGUAUCCGUUUCUUAUGCUCCCUCUCCGGAAUCACACCCUGAUUCCCCGUUACCCGUUGUCAACAUGGUAGGUCUAUCACGUACCAUCGACAGUUCAUAAGGCAGACAUUUGAAAGAUGCCUCGCCGGCUCGAAGCCAUGCGAUCGGCACAAAGUUAUCCAGAGUCAUUAAAAGGGACUGGGCCGAGACCCCGACUGAUUUUGAACUAAUAAAAGCGCUCUUUCCCGGCUUUGACGGGUCGGAGUUGGUUUGCAUGUAUUAGCUCUAGAAUUGCCACAGUUAUCCAAGUAGAAAUGGAUCAUCUAAGGAACCUCGACUGAUUUCAUGAGCCAUUCGCGGUUUCACCGUACGAGGCAUGGCUUAAUCUUUGAGAACAAGCAUAUGACUACUGGUAGGAUCAACCAGAA
rnacentral:rRNA from 1 species